GCGCGCUCUUUUCUCCCAUCUCUCCAUCCUGUGGGUGCAACGCUAAAGCAACGUUUGGUGGACGAGACUACAUUAAAGGCGAAUAUCUACUUCGUGUUUAAGUUGAAAAGCAGUUUGUGGCAACCUCCUAUUAAUGGAUUAUGAAUGUGGCAGUGCAAAGAAUGCCGUCUGCAAUUAGCUAGCAGGUAUUUGUUAUUGCAACAUUUUAGGCAGGUUCAUGGGCAC